AAAUGGUGGUAUGGUAUGUAUGUAGUUAUUAACAGUCAACUGGCACGUAGGCCAAUAAUUUUAUGACCGGUGGUGAUUUAGUCGUAAAGGAAAUAUUUUGGCAACUCUGAAGAAGAAUGAUUUCUCAAAUGUCAGGCUUCGAUAUGCUGAUAUGAACUGGAAAUGGAGCAGAAUUUAUAUAAAAAAACUACAUAAAUAACAUCCUGUUGACAUAAAAGAAUAACACCCAUUUUCAGUGGUAUUUUGGGUGUUAUAAAUAACAAUUAUUCUUGCAAACAAUGCGAUGAUCUCAUUGCUGGUAAAAUUGGCAUGGCUAAACUAGCCACGAUGUUAAUGGCGUACAAAUUUCCAAUCUUAUAUUCCAGAAUGAAAUCAAAGCGUUCAAAAACGAAACAUGAUCGAGUCCUGCAUGACAUGCACGCAUUCUUAAAUUUAUGUAUUCUUCCAUUCCAUCAAGUCGGAUCAAAUUUCGUUCCCAUCGAAUUUCAUUUUUUCUAUUUGUCUGGCCUCGACAAUAAUUGCGGCAAUAAAAAUUAAGACCAUGUACAUAACUUUAUAUUGGGUUUCUUAAAAUAAUAUCCCCGUACUUUUUAUAUAUAUAUCAAUGCUUAUCUAGUAUGAAAAACCGCCUUCUUCUAAUCUAAAUACUGUCUGCGUAUACCGUGUGAAGGAAUGUGUUAUGAAUUUGAGUCCAGUUACAUCUUAUCGAAAAUAUGCCACUUAUAAUAUAAACAUGCACUUAGCACUCACAUUUGUUUUGGCAAAGCCUUUUCUACUACGGGACCCAAGCAUACGUAGGAAAGGGUACACGACCACGAUGACAUUUGAGGAUACUGCCGUGGUGGUGCUCAGCGUUAGUGUAAACUUAUUGGUGAUCAGAAUAAUCUGAGUGCCAGUGAGACCGUGAGACGGAUAAAAAGAAAUUAGUUGGCUUUUCUCCUUUGUCCAGAGCUGAAUCUAUUUAAACCGCAGUUGUUGCUGCUGAAUAAAAGCAUAAAUAUUGUCGUGUGAGAAAAGAAUAGAUUUCGUAGAAGUUAAUAGUCUUCCUUGGCACACUGUGCGCGUGCAUAGCUCUCUCUCUCUCACUCUCGCUAUUGAUGAAAUUGGCUGAAAAUAAGGACUCGCAGAAUGCAAGGAGUACUUAUUUAUAACAUUCCAAACCUGUACUGGAGUGUGGACGAUAUUCGUCACACUUUGAGGAGAAAGUGUGGAGGGGCAAGAGAUAAUAAUGGAAAUUGCUCCGCCUCUCCUGAUGAUAACACAGGCUCGAAAGUGCAGAGGAUUUUGCAAAGGGUCAGGAAGACUGAUUUUCGUCGGAUGACGAAGACCAUGCAUGAAGGAGUACGCUCAACUUUUGCAACUCUGUCGCAAAUUUACCAGGGAUUUUGUCAUCGUGAUGACGAGAAGGAAAACUGUGAAGGCGCUUGCGACGCUGAUUUUCCAGCAGAUGACAAAGAAAACCAGAAAUCAUCCCCUGAAAAAUUCAGGAAGACCAUGAAAAUCAAGCAUUCGAGUUAAAUAUUUAUUGAAUUCUGUCCGUAUGGUGGAGGUAUUUUUAUUGAAUUAUCAGAUAUCCAAAUUUUGAAAUCAUAUAAGGUUACUGAACAUUUUCUAACUGGAAGACAUAGUGUAAAAAAAUUACACGAUUCGUAUAAACUUACAAAUGAUGAUUUUCUUGGCGAUUCUCAUGCAUACCUAUUAUAUCCUAUCCUAUUCUAUCCUAACAAUAAUACAUUAAGUUACAUGAUUGUGGACGAAUGAGAAUUACCUCUUGAGAAUUCAUAUUUUCACAUUAAAAUGUGUAUGGCUUGUUAAAAUCAGACAAAGUUUAUCUGACUAUUCCUUCAACACAAAUAAUAUUUGUCCUGUUACACAUACAUUAAGGAAAAAUACUUGCAAAGGAUGAUAUGUAUAAUAGGACCAUACAAAUACAUAGGAUAAAUAAUAAAUAUUAGUAUCAAACAAUUCCAACCGUUAUAUACUGAAAAAUAUCUUUGCGAAUUAAACUAAAUUUGUGAAAUACAUUUUUUGCAUAUCAUUAAACUGAUUUUUUUUCUGAUUA